rnacentral:lncRNA from 1 species
AUCCUGCGGCCGAACUUGGCAGUAAGAACACGUGUCGGUACCGGAGCGGUGGGGAGCAGUGGCGAGCAGGGCGGUCCUCGCAACCCGCCGGGGCUCUGGGAAGCUGGAGACCAACGCGGGCGGAGGAGCACGAGCCUGUUUGUUGCUAGAAAGGGGCUCCAAGUCCGCUGCAUGUUCGUGGCCUUCUUAAUUUCUUUUUCUGCUCGAGCAAAUAAAAGUUUCAUUUCUCUCCGGAGUAUUGAGCUAGAGAGCGGGGAAGAGCAUGCAGUAAAGUGAAUCCAGACUAGAAUCUGGGGAAGCCUCUCUCCAAGGUUGCAUCUCGGAGAAACAAGCCAUCAGAUUCUUGUCUAAACUUUGCCUCGUCUUAUUUAGUUUUCUAGUGAUUUUCUGCAAAAGGAAAUACCAGAUAGGCAAUCUAGUGGUUUACAUAGAUCUGAAUAAAAGCUUGAGGUUUUCCCUCUUGACCACUUUGGAGAAGAAAACUAGGUUAAGAUGACGAUUUUUGUAUGUCAGAAAAGAAGCCUGUAAUGUGCAUUAAGUUUGAGACUUUUUUUUAACACCUGGGAGUUUGAGAAGGCAAAUAGGGAAAAGAAAAAAAAUAGAAACUCAAGUUCAGGAAUAUUUUCUCGUGUGUGCAGAUUAUUACGUGAGGAAGAAAAAAGGGAUAACUCACAGACCUUAGCAAUUAAAAAUACUUAAUUUUUUUGUUGAAUGCCUAUUAAUCUGAUGGUUCCUGGUCAAUUUUGUAGGGCAGAACAUUAUGCAACUGUACACACUGAUUUAUUAGAGUGCUAUGAAUGUGGGCCACCAGACAGUUCGGUAUCAUGUUAUUUUAUUUUUUGAGAC